GGCUCCAUGGUCAAGCGGUUAAGACAUCGCCCUUUCACGGCGGUAACACGGGUUCAAUUCCCGUUGGAGUCACUA
rnacentral:tRNA from 1 species